AGAAAUCUUAGUAUAUCUUAGUCAAAUGUUAAUAUGGAGUGAUGAUUCGCCAUGGACGGCGAAUCAAGAUGGCACUGAGCCAGGAUGGCGAAUUGCCAUCGGUCACGGGCUUAUGAUAUACACUUUCCAUUUGACUUAGAUAUACUUGAUUUCGGA
rnacentral:ncRNA from 1 species